CCUACGGGGGGCAGCAGUGGGGAAUAUUGCACAAUGGGGGAAACCCUGAUGCAGCGACGCCGCGUGAGUGAAGAAGUAAUUCGUUACGUAAAGCUCUAUCAGCAGGGAAGAAAUACUGACCUUACGGUCAGCAGACGGUACCUGAUUAAGAAACCCCGGCUAACUACGUGCCAGCAGCCGCGGUAAGACGUAGGGGGCAAGCGUUAUCCGGAUUUACUGGGUGUAAAGGGAGCGUAGACGGUGCGCCAGGUCUGGAGUGAAAUGCCGCAGCUUAACUGCGGAACUGCUUUGGAAACUGGCGAACUAGAGUGCGGGCGGGGUAAGCGGAAUUCCUAGUGUAGCGGUGAAAUGCGUAGAUAUGAGGAGGAACACCGGUGGCGAAGGCGGCUUACUGGACCGUAACUGACGUUGAGGCUCGAAAGCGUGGGGAGCAAACAGGAUUAGAUACCCUUGUAGUC
rnacentral:rRNA from 1 species